AGUGAAAAGCGAAAAGUUCAAACUCUUCAAACAGGAGCAACAAGCUCAGUUACGUGACGGCUAAAACUCUACUUGGAUAUUUAAGAGAACCAAGACAAUUAUAUAAGAGAACUAAGGCAACAAGAAACUCUUCUUCAAGUUGUUAGGUAUUAUUUUCUUUCUUGCUUGUAAGAAUUAUGUACAUUGAGGAUUUGAUGUAUUAUUUACAUUGAGAAUAAUGAAUUUUUAUUGAGAAUUAUUUAGUCUCAUGGGGAUUUGAUGUAUUAUUUACAUUUUAAUUGUAUGAAUAAAUGUUGUAUGUAUAUGAAUUUUUAUUAUGAUAAAAAUAA